UACGGAGGGUGCAAGCGUUAUCCGGAUUCACUGGGUUUAAAGGGUGCGUAGGUGGAGUGGUAAGUCAGUGGUGAAAUCUCUAAGCUUAACUUGGAACUGCCGUUGAUACUAUCAUUCUUGAAUAUCGUGGAGGUAAGCGGAAUAUGUCAUGUAGCGGUGAAAUGCUUAGAUAUGACAUAGAACACCGAUUGCGAAGGCAGCUUGCUACACGAUCAUUGACACUGAGGCACGAAAGCGUGGGGAUCAAACAGG
rnacentral:rRNA from 1 species